rnacentral:RNase_P_RNA from 3 species
CGAGUCAGCCAGGCAGUCGCUGUACGGUUUUCUGUACAGAGGAAAGUCCGGGCUUCAUAGAACGCAGCGCCAGAUAACAUCUGGGCAACGUGAGUUGACGGAAAGUGCCACAGAAAAUAUACCGCUGUUGUAAAACAGUAAGGGUGAAAAGGUGCGGUAAGAGCGCACCGCGUGAUUAGUAAUAAUCAUGGCAGGGUAAACCCCGCUGGAAGCAAGACCAAAUACAGAUUCCAUGAUGCUGUUCGCAUCGAAUCAGGGUAGGUUGCUUGAGGUGAAUGGCGACAUUCAUCCUAGACAGAUGAUUGCUCAUGACAAAACCCGGCUUAUCGGCUGACUCAACUU